CGGGGCGUGGCGCAGUCUGGUAGCGCACCUGCUUCGGGAGCAGGGGGUCGGAGGUUCAAAUCCUCUCGCCCCGACCA
rnacentral:tRNA from 1 species